rnacentral:rRNA from 1 species
UACGGAGGGUGCAAGCGUUAUCCGGAUUUACUGGGCUUAAAGGGUGCGUAGGUGGGUCUGUAAGUCAGUGGUGAAAUCUCCGAGCUUAACUCGGAAACUGCCAUUGACACUAUAGGUCUUGAAUUAUCUGGAGGUAAGCGGAAUAUGUCAUGUAGCGGUGAAAUGCUUAGAUAUGACAUAGAACACCAAUUGCGAAGGCAGCUUACUACGGAUCGAUUGACACUGAGGCACGAAAGCGUGGGGAUCAAACAGG